rnacentral:rRNA from 1 species
UGGUUUGAUCGUGGCUCAGAUUGAACGCUGGCGGCAGGCCUAACACAUGCAAGUCGAACGGUAACAGGAAGCAGCUUGCUGCUUUGCUGACGAGUGGCGGACGGGUGAGUAAUGUCUGGGAAACUGCCCGAUGGAGGGGGAUAACUACUGGAAACGGUAGCUAAUACCGCAUAACGUCGCAAGACCAAAGAGGGGGACCUUAGGGCCUCUUGCCAUCGGAUGUGCCCAGAUGGGAUUAGCUAGUAGGUGGGGUAACGGCUCACCUAGGCGACGAUCCCUAGCUGGUCUGAGAGGAUGACCAGCCACACUGGAACUGAGACACGGUCCAGACUCCUACGGGAGGCAGCAGUGGGGAAUAUUGCACAAUGGGCGCAAGCCUGAUGCAGCCAUGCCGCGUGUAUGAAGAAGGCCUUCGGGUUGUAAAGUACUUUCAGCGGGGAGGAAGGGAGUAAAGUUAAUACCUUUGCUCAUUGACGUUACCCGCAGAAGAAGCACCGGCUAACUCCGUGCCAGCAGCCGCGGUAAUACGGAGGGUGCAAGCGUUAAUCGGAAUUACUGGGCGUAAAGCGCACGCAGGCGGUUUGUUAAGUCAGAUGUGAAAUCCCCGGGCUCAACCUGGGAACUGCAUCUGAUACUGGCAAGCUUGAGUCUCGUAGAGGGGGGUAGAAUUCCAGGUGUAGCGGUGAAAUGCGUAGAGAUCUGGAGGAAUACCGGUGGCGAAGGCGGCCCCCUGGACGAAGACUGACGCUCAGGUGCGAAAGCGUGGGGAGCAAACAGGAUUAGAUACCCUGGUAGUCCACGCCGUAAACGAUGUCGACUUGGAGGUUGUGCCCUUGAGGCGUGGCUUCCGGAGCUAACGCGUUAAGUCGACCGCCUGGGGAGUACGGCCGCAAGGUUAAAACUCAAAUGAAUUGACGGGGGCCCGCACAAGCGGUGGAGCAUGUGGUUUAAUUCGAUGCAACGCGAAGAACCUUACCUGGUCUUGACAUCCACGGAAGUUUUCAGAGAUGAGAAUGUGCCUUCGGGAACCGUGAGACAGGUGCUGCAUGGCUGUCGUCAGCUCGUGUUGUGAAAUGUUGGGUUAAGUCCCGCAACGAGCGCAACCCUUAUCCUUUGUUGCCAGCGGUCCGGCCGGGAACUCAAAGGAGACUGCCAGUGAUAAACUGGAGGAAGGUGGGGAUGACGUCAAGUCAUCAUGGCCCUUACGACCAGGGCUACACACGUGCUACAAUGGCGCAUACAAAGAGAAGCGACCUCGCGAGAGCAAGCGGACCUCAUAAAGUGCGUCGUAGUCCGGAUUGGAGUCUGCAACUCGACUCCAUGAAGUCGGAAUCGCUAGUAAUCGUGGAUCAGAAUGCCACGGUGAAUACGUUCCCGGGCCUUGUACACACCGCCCGUCACACCAUGGGAGUGGGUUGCAAAAGAAGUAGGUAGCUUAACCUUCGGGAGGGCGCUUACCACUUUGUGAUUCAUGACUGGGGUGAAGUCGUAACAAGGUACCC